GACGAACGCUGGCGGCGUGCUUAACACAUGCAAGUCGAACGAAGAGCGAUGGAAGCUUGCUUCUAUCAAUCUUAGUGGCGAACGGGUGAGUAACGCGUAAUCAACCUGCCCUUCAGAGGGGGACAACAGUUGGAAACGACUGCUAAUACCGCAUACGAUCUAAUCUCGGCAUCGAGGAUAGAUGAAAGGUGGCCUCUACAUGUAAGCUAUCACUGAAGGAGGGGAUUGCGUCUGAUUAGCUAGUUGGAGGGGUAACGGCCCACCAAGGCGAUGAACAGUAGCCGGUCUGGGAGGAUGGAGGGCCACAUUGGGACUGAGACACGGCACAGACCCCUACGGGAGGCAGCAGUGGGGAAUCUUGCGCAAUGGACGAAAGUCUGACGGAGCAACGCCGCGGGAGGGAGGACGGCCUUCGGGUUGUAAAGCUCUGUUAAUCGGGACGAAAGGCCUUCUUGCGAAUAGUGAGAAGGAUUGACGGUACCGGAAUAGAAAGCCACGGCUAACUACGUG
rnacentral:rRNA from 1 species